rnacentral:rRNA from 1 species
CCUACGGGAGGCAGCAGUGAGGAAUAUUGGUCAAUGGGCGCGAGGCUGAACCAGCCAAGUAGCGUGAGGGACGACUGCCCUAUGGGUUGUAAACCUCUUUUAUAAGGGAAUAAUAAAUGCUACGUGUAGCAUGAUGCCUGUACCUUAUGAAUAAGCAUCGGCUAACUCCGUGCCAGCAGCCGCGGUAAUACGGAGGAUGCGAGCGUUAUCCGGAUUUAUUGGGGUUAAAGGGAGCGUAGGUGGGUUUUUAAGUUAGUUGGUAAAGUUUGGGGCUUAACCGUAAAAUUGCCAUUAAUACUGGAAGCCUCGAGUUCAGAUGAGGUAGGUGGAAUUCGUGGUGUAGCGGUGAAAUGCUUAGAUAUAACGUAGAACUCCGAUAGCGAAGGCAGCUUACUAGACUGCCACUGACGCUGAUGCACGAGAGUGUGGGUAGCGAACAGGAUUAGAUACCCUUGUAGUC